GCUACACAUGCAGUCGAGCGGUAACAGGAGAAGCUUGCUUCUCGCUGACGAGCGGCGGACGGGUGAGUAAUACUUAGGAAUCUACCUAGUAGUGGGGGAUAGCACGGGGAAACUCGUAUUAAUACCGCAUACGACCUACGGGAGAAAGGGGGCAGUUUACUGCUCUCGCUAUUAGAUGAGCCUAAGUCGGAUUAGCUAGAUGGUGGGGUAAAGGCCUACCAUGGCGACGAUCUGUAGCUGGUCUGAGAGGAUGAUCAGCCACACCGGGACUGAGACACGGCCCGGACUCCUACGGGAGGCAGCAGUGGGGAAUAUUGGACAAUGGGGGAAACCCUGAUCCAGCCAUGCCGCGUGUGUGAAGAAGGCCUUUUGGUUGUAAAGCACUUUAAGCAGUGAAGAAGACUCCAUGGUUAAUACCCAUGGACGAUGACAUUAGCUGCAGAAUAAGCACCGGCUAACUCUGUGCCAGCAGCCGCGGUAAUACAGAGGGUGCAAGCGUUAAUCGGAAUUACUG
rnacentral:rRNA from 1 species